UACGUAGGGUCCGAGCGUUAAUCGGAAUUACUGGGCGUAAAGUGUGCGCAGGCGGCAGAGCAAGUCGAGUGUGAAAGCCCCGGGCUUAACUUGGGAAUUGCGCUCGAAACUACUUUGCUGGAGUGUGGCAGAGGAAGGUGGAAUUCCACGUGUAGCGGUGAAAUGCGUAGAGAUGUGGAGGAACACCAAUGGCGAAGGCAGCCUUCUGGGCCAACACUGACGCUCAUGCACGAAAGCGUGGGGAGCAAACAGG
rnacentral:rRNA from 1 species